AGUGAACGCUGGCGGUAGGCCUAACACAUGCAAGUCGAACGGCAGCACAGGAGAGCUUGCUCUCUGGGUGGCGAGUGGCGGACGGGUGAGGAAUACAUCGGAAUCUACUUUUUCGUGGGGGAUAACGUCGGGAAACUUACGCUAAUACCGCAUACGACCUACGGGUGAAAGCAGGGGAUCUUCGGACCUUGCGCGAUUGAAUGAGCCGAUGUCGGAUUAGCUAGUUGGCGGGGUAAAGGCCCACCAAGGCGACGAUCCGUGGCUGUUCUAAGAGGAUGAUCAGCCACACUGGAACUGAGACACGGUCCAGACUCCUACGGGAGGCAGCGGUGGGGAAUAUUGGACAAUGGGCGCAAGCCUGAUCCAGCCAUACCGCGUGGGUGAAGAAGGCCUUCGGGUUGUAAAGCCCUUUUGUUGGGAAAGAAAUCCAGCUGGUUAAUACCCGGUUGGGAUGACGGUACCCAAAGAAUAAGCACCGGCUAACUUCGUGCCAGCCGCCGCGGUAA
rnacentral:rRNA from 1 species